rnacentral:rRNA from 1 species
UACGGGGGGAGCAAGCGUUGUUCGGAUUUACUGGGCGUAAAGGGCGCGUAGCGGUCAGCACAAGUCAGUUGUGAAAUCUCCGGGCUUAACUCGGAAAGGUCAACUGAUACUGUGCGACUAGAGUGCGGAAGGGGCAACUGGAAUUCUCGGUGUAGCGGUGAAAUGCGUAGAUAUCGAGAGGAACACCUGCGGCGAAGGCGGGUUGCUGGGCCGACACUGACGCUGAUGCGCGAAAGCCAGGGGAGCGAACGGG